ensembl:lncRNA
CUCCAGGGUCAUUUGCAGCCCAGGAUUUUGGGGAGAAAAUAGUUCAAGGACUUGAAUUAUUGGGCAUGUAAAAUGAAGACACUCCCAUGGGACCUGCUUCUAUGGGCAAAGGGUGACAGGGCUGCGAAUGGGUCUGGGUCCAAGGGGCCACCCCCAUGGGUCCAAGUGAUCCCCAUCCUUCAACACGGGAGCCCGGGAUGCGGGCAGGACAGCCCCACAGGGUCCCCACCAACGAGAGCCAACAAGGACGAGAGCACACAGGCAGAAACCAGAGAUAGGAGGGCAAUUAAUGCUGUCUUUAUUUACACCACAAGAGUAACAGUUGAAGGAUGAGGUACAAAAUACUGGACUCCUGGGGAACUGAACAGAGUCGGCCGUCGGAGGGGGACACCGCGGUCGGCGAAAAUCCACCCACAUGGAACAGAACAAGAAUGGGAAAACCAAGAACAAAAUCUGCAACCCCACUGAGCAAAAGAGCGAACCCUUGGAAGGUCCAGACGGUCAGAGAGAACCGAUGAGAUUACAGAGGACACAGUCGCGGCUCCUGCGCGGCCCCACGCGGGCGCGGACAGGCAUUGGGUGGGAUGUGCUGUCGUUCCAACCGUGUUUUCGAGAACACGUCGGUAGUAAGCUCUUGGGUGAACAGGGUCAGCCCCCCUUAUAUAUAUAUUAUAGAUAUAGUUUGUCUUUCUCAUCAUUGGAAAAUGGCGCCCCCGUUAUGGAGCACACACAUCAAAAAAGCAAACAAACAGAAACUGUCCGCUUUCCUUUUCUUUCGACAGGAGACUUUUAAUCAUGUCAGACACAAAGGGAGCUGAGCUCGGAGCAGCCUCCGCUUCAUCACAAGGAAGAAAUGCUUUCCUUUCGAUGCAAAGUAUAAUUUUAAACCACAGUGCUCACACAGUUCACGACUGCUUAGUUUAAAGUGAAAUCUUAGCCAUACAUCAUCUAAAAGUAAUUAAAAAGUCAACAUGGAAAAGGGGCUUCCCAGGGCCCACCCGGUUCUCCAUCAGAAUAAGCGGUCACGGGGGCCGGUGGGCACAGUGCGCCUCGCCCCGUGCAAGGAGAUAAAAAGAACCGAAACAAAAAAAUUCCUCCAAAUCAACUGAAGAGAGACAGGCAGUUCACUGUGAAUUCUGCGCAGUUUCCCGAAAACACUGUUUCCACAUAAAUACAAUAAACUCUAUUAUUGGUAUGUCGCAAGUGCUAGAUAAACUUUUUUUCUUAAUAUGACAAAUGUUUAAGUAGUCCUUUUUAUUCUUCUUACAAUAAAAAGUACAAUUUCUUAAGAAUAAGUUCAAUAAGACGCAAACGUUCCCCCCCAACUCUCCUUCUAGGUUUUGUUUUACAGAAAAAUUUCCAUCGUUUGUAUCUGCAGAUGUCAUGAGAGAACAGAAAGGCAUUUUUCUUCUUCCCCAAAGCUGCCGAGUUUGGCGUGCAAAAUCUGUAUACAAUAUAAAGACAUGCGGCCGUUACAGUCCAUGCAACCUCCAGAUGUAGGAAACCUAAAAAAAUAUAUUCAUAUAUAUUUAUAUUUAUAUAUUUAUAUAUGUAUCAAUGCCCAGAGAACAUGUGGGCCCAAAAGUCUACAAAAAGAAGAAUGGAAUGAGCACAUGGCUGUGACCAGGAAGAAGGAAUGUUCUGAUCAAAAAUUAAAAACAAUAAACUCCUUUGCUAGAGCUGCAAAAAUCAGACCUACUUUUGUGUCCAAUACAAAACGGUCCUUCCUCUGGAAACAGACUUUCAAAAGAAGUAAAGAAAAACUGAAACACUUCGACAAAGAGGCCCUUGGGAACCGGAGGGGCUGCCAGUCCCGGCCGGUCGGGUGCGGCCCCGGGACGGCCGCCUGCUGGUGGGGCUCGGGCGCGUCGUGGCGCAGCUGGAAAGCCAAGAGGGCAGGGGCGACACCGCGAGUCCCGGCAGCGUCGUGGGGCUUCCCGCAAAGGGACAUAAAGUGCUCGCUUGCUGAUCCCCGGUCAGGGCCCCAAGGCCUUUGCAAAGAGAGGAAAAGGCUAGAGGUCCAGGGAGCCAAGAGGGGAGGCGUGAGGAGCCUGGGGCAGGCCCUCCAGCGUCCGCCCUGGACGUCUGGCCGUGCAGAGGGCCAAGUGUGUCUUCAAAGGAAAGAAAAGGCUACAUGGUCACGCUCUCUGCACGUCUGUGAAGCUGGAGUGAGCUGACAGCGAAACACACUCCCCCGGCAGGGCCCCUCUGUAGAAGCCAUCUCUGCUGAAUGGGGUUGGAAGUCAGUGCCCACAAUGAUAACGUGACCACCGAGAGGUCCACGUUAUCGCAUCAUCUGUAAAAAACGUGAGAUGAUGUCUUACUCCCCAAGAGCCACGGCUGGUCAAGAGAGGGCAGGGGCAAGGGGUCCCCACGGACUGUGCCGAGGAGCCCGAGGAGGCCAGAAGAGCCGGCCGCUGGGCCCCGCCAGCGCCCUGCUCACGCCGGGGGUGGAUGGAACUGCUCCCACACACCGGCUCCCGUCAAGUCGGGCUUCAGAGUGGCCAGGAGGGAGGAGAUGGUCAAACACAUCCUGAGCCCUUUCUGCCCUGCUCUCAAACGGCUGCCCUGGAUUUGACCAACAGCAUCCUGGUGACCAAGCCAAUCCAAGAAUUUGGAUAUAUUGGGUCAAAAGUCCAGCUGUGUCAGUGUCUCUUUCAGAAGCUACCCUGUAAACGUCACCAAUCUCAGAAACCUGCCUUGGGGUUCCCUCCUGUGGGCACGCUGGGCCUGUACUUCGUCCCACAAGUCUGAGCUCGAUACACACUUUGGAAUGAAACUGGUGGCUUCAAGUGCUGGAAAAUAAGUUACCAGUAAAAAGUGAUGGUCAGUAACCGUCAAAGAGAAAAAGAGCCGAGACUGGCUGCCCUGGUCAGGACCUGUGUGCCCCUGCAGGCUUGCCAGGCGGUGAGGGCCUCUGCAGCCGCAGCCUCUAAAGUCCAGGGCCUGCUGCUUCCAGCCAGGGGCCUGGGCCAUGUGGCUGCAGCAGAAAAACCAGGAAUGGGGGCCAGGCCCCACUCUGGCCCCAUGCAUUGCUGACAUGCUUAAAAGGUCUUUGGAAAACAGAAGCUAAAAUUCUAUCCUGACCACAUGGUCAGAGAAGUUUAAACAUGAGUUUUAGGACUGCCGAUGGCCCGUGGUGUCUGGGCAAGUUGCCCAGCUCACUGCCAUGCGUGAUCCCCC